rnacentral:rRNA from 1 species
UACGUAGGGGGCGAGCGUUGUCCGGAAUUAUUGGGCGUAAAGAGCGCGUAGGCGGUCCGGUAAGUCCGCUCUGAAAGUCCGGGGCUCAACCCCGGGAGGCGGGCGGAUACUGUCGGGCUAGAGUCCGGAAGAGGCGAGUGGAAUUCCUGGUGUAGCGGUGAAAUGCGCAGAUAUCAGGAGGAACACCGGUGGCGAAGGCGGAUCUCUGGGCCAUUACUGACGCUGAGGAGCGAAAGCGUGGGGAGCGAACAGG